GGGGAACUGAGACACUUGGGGACACUGGGAGACAUAAGGGCACUUCUGGAUACAGAAAUGGGGAAACUGGGAGACACUGAGACAUUUGGGGACACUGUGAGAAAUGGGGACACAUAUACUAGGGACACAGAGACAUGGGCACACUGAGACAUUUGGGGACACUAGGAACACUGAGAGACAUGGGGACACAGACACUUGGAGACUAGGAGACAUGGGAGCACUUGUGGACAUAGACAUGGGGACACUAGGGACACUGAGAGACAUGGGGACACUGAGACACUUGGUACACUGGCUGGGAGACAUGGGGACACAGAGACAU